ensembl:lncRNA
GGGGUACAGGUACAGAGUCAAUGUGGAGGCUAUAUACAGGGGGUACCGGUACAGAGUCAAUGUGGAGGCUAUAUACAAGGUGUUACGGUACAGAGUCAAUGUGGAGGCUAUAUACAUGGGGUACAGGUACAGAGUCAAUGUGGAGACUAUAUACAGGGGGUACCGGUACAGAGUCAAUGUGGAGACUAUAUACAGGGGGUACUGGUACAGAGUCAAUGUGGAGACUAUAUACAGUGGGUACCGGUACAGAGUCAAUGUGGAGGCUAUAUACAGGGUGUUACGGUACAGAGUCAAUGUGGAAACUAUAUACAGGGUGUUACGGUACAGAGUCAAUGUGGAAACUAUAU